AACGAACGCUGGCGGCAUGCCUAACACAUGCAAGUCGAACGAGACCUUCGGGUCUAGUGGCGCACGGGUGCGUAACGCGUGGGAACCUGCCCUUAGGUUCGGAAUAACUCCCCGAAAGGGGUGCUAAUACCGGAUAAUGUCUUCGGACCAAAGAUUUAUCGCCUUUGGAUGGGCCCGCGUUGGAUUAGCUAGUUGGUUGGGUAAAAGCCUACCAAGGCGACGAUCCAUAGCUGGUCUGAGAGGAUGAUCAGCCACACUGGGACUGAGACACGGCCCAGACUCCUACGGGAAGCAGCAGUGGGGAAUAUUGGACAAUGGGCGAAAGCCUGAUCCAGCAAUGCCGCGUGAGUGAUGAAGGCCUUAGGGUUGUAAAGCUCUUUUACCCGGGAUGAUAAUGACAGUACCGGGAGAAUAAGCUCCGGCUAACUCCGUG
rnacentral:rRNA from 1 species